rnacentral:miRNA from 1 species
UUUUGAUUGCUGCUCAGAAAGUC